GAGAGAAUGAAAGCACAAGAAAAAAGAGGAGUGAACUGCAUGCAUUACUCAAGUAUAAGGCUAUAAGCAUGUACUAGGAGCAACAGUCCAUAAAAUACAGCGAAAUUAACCAGCAAAGAUUGUAGUCCUUUCCAGAAAUAAUAUAAAAAGAAUUAAUGAGAGGAAAGAAGAGGGCUUCAUUGGAUAGUGGGCAGUUUUGAAUUUUUGAAUUCAGAAUUUGAGACUAAAAUAAAGAUUCACACCUCAAUAGAAUGGCAUUAUUUUCUAUUAUGUACAUUUUCAUUAUGAUAGUGCUUUUCCAAAAUUGACAAAAUUUGGAUUGGAAAUCUAUUAACAGAUCUGUAAUUCUAUCCAUUCUUAUUUCAGUUAAAAAAAGUCCUAUCCAUUAUUAUUUUGAUCCAAUUCAAAUUUUCACCCAAUUGAGCACCUCCAACAUAUUUUUUUUCACAGUAGCAGAAACUGCCAAACAAGAGGGGAAAUAGCAGGUCAAGAGAUAUCAGUUCAUUGAAAAAGAAAAUCAAAUAUGUCAAAUAACAUACAUUACAAGACAUUCCAUCUUUCACAGCUUCAAUAUGAACCACAAGCUAGGCAAAUCACUUAAUUUGUCAAACAACCUACUUUUAGAUCCACAGUAAAAAUUCCAAUACUAAAAUAUCACACACACAGAUGCUGAAAGUUGUGUUACUCAGACCUUUCAGUUCUUGAAGUACCAAUGACCAACACUUUAAAAUGACUAAGGGUAUGGAUGAUGAACACUCCAAAACAAGGAACUUGGCAACCCAGAAACUGGUGCAGUAGUCCUUGUACUUUCAAG
rnacentral:misc_RNA from 1 species